CAUACAGGGAUCAUAUUUUAAUAUCACCAAGCUUCAUGCCUUCCCAGCCCAGAUUUCUCUAUUCACGUUUUGCUCAGAGCAGACCUGUUCCCAGUGAAAUACCCGGGCUUCAGGCCCAGCUAGUCCUUAUUUAACAGGUGUACCUCUGUGGCCAGCACCUGCAGAGACGUAGCACAGAAAGAAGGCCUUACACGGUGUGCCUCUGUGGCUGGCACCUGCACAGACGUGGCACAGAGAGAAGGGCUCCAGGGUCAUUUUCGGAGAAAUCUCCACCCAAUUCCACAUCAUUGCCUCAUGGCCCAUCCAUGACAAGCAAAGACUUCAAUGGCCGGAAAAUGCAGAAAGAACAAAGAAUCACUUCUCGCUGGUUUUCCUCUGGAUUAAGAAGAUGGCUGAAACAAAGGAACUGUGCUCUACACGGCCUAGACUUUGUGCUUCUCUGCGAGCAACCCCCCCAAAAAAAUAUCUCCCCUUAUUCCCAGCCCAGAUUCCUCUUUUUAUGUAAAUGUCAGAGAGGAGUCAUCUUUUAAUAUCACCUAGGCUUCAUGCCUUCCCAGCCCAGAUUCCCCCUAUCAUGUGAAUGUCAGAGAGGAAUCAUAUUUUAAUAUUACCCAGGCUUCAUGCCUCCCCAGCCCAGAUUCCUCUUUUCAUGUGAAUGUCAGAGAGGAAUCAUAUUUUAAUAUCACCCAGGCUUCAUGCCUCCCCAGCCCAGAUUUCUCUAUUCACAUGAAUCUCAUUCAGGAGUCAUAUUUUAAGAUGAGCUAGGCCUCAUGCCUUCCCAGCCCAGAUUUCUCUAUUCACAAGAAUCUCAUUCAGGAAUCAUAUUUUAAGAUCACCUAGGCUUCUUGCGUCUCCAGCCCUGAUUUCUCUAUUCACGUUGAUCUCAUAGAGGAAUCAUAUUUUAAUAUAACCUAGGCUUCAUGCCUCCCCUACCCAGAUUUCUCUUAUGUGAAUUUCAGAGAGGAAUCAUAUUUUAAUAUCACCUAGGCUUCAUGCCUUCCCAGCCCAGAUUUCUCUAUUCACGUUUUGCUCAGAGCAGACCUGAUCACAGUGAAAUACCUUGGCUAGAGGCCCGACUAGUCCUUAUUUAACUGAAUUUUGCUCAGAGCAGAUCUGUCCCUAGUGAAAUACCUGGGCUUCAAGCCCAACUAGUCCUUAUUUUACAGGUGUACCUCUGUGGCCGGCACCUGCAGAGACGUAGCACAGAAAGAAGGCCUUACACGGUGUGCCUCUGUGGCUGGCACCUGCACAGACGUGGCACAGAGAGAAGGGCUCCAGGGUCAUUUUCGGAGAAAUCUCCACCCAAUUCCACAUCAUUGCCUCAUGGCCCAUCCAUGACAAGCAAAGACUUCAAUGGCCGGAAAAUGCAGAAAGAACAAAGAAUCACUUCUCGCUGGUUUUCCUCUGGAUUAAGAAGAUAGCUGAAACAAAGGAACUGUGCUCUACACGGCCUAGACUUUGUGCUUCUCUGUCCUCUGCGAGCAACCCCCCCCCAAAAAAAUCUCCCCUUAUUCCUAGCCCAGAUUCCUCUUUUUAUGUAAAUGUCAGAGAGGAAUCAUCUUUUAAUAUCACCUAGGCUUCAUGCCUUCCCAGCCCAGAUUCCUCCUUUCAUGUGAAUGUCAGAGAGGAAUCAUAUUUUAAUAUCACCUAGGCUUUAUGCCUCCUCAGCCCAGAUUUCUCUAUUCACGUGAAUCUCACACAGGAAUCAUAUUUUAAUAUCAUCUAGGCUUCCCAGCCCAGAUUCCUCCUUUCAUGUGAAUGUCAGAGAGGAAUCAUAUUUUAAUAUCACCCAGGCUUCAUGCCUUCCCAGCCCAGAUUCCUCUUUUCAUGUAAAUAUCAGAGAUGAAUCAUAUUUUAAUGUCACCCAGGCUUCAUGCCUUCCCAGCCCAGAUUUCUCUAUUCACAUGAAUCUCAUUCAGGAAUCAUAUUUUAAUAUCACCCAGGCUUCAUGCCUCCC